CUGGUGGGCUCGGCCACAGAAUUAUUGCUGCGCCAGAGGCCUAAAAGCCUAGAACCUUCUGCGAUUUUCAGUGCUGCCUUCUUCACUUGAAUAUCAGUUCCACAAGGAUAAGCAGCUUUUAUCUGGUUUGGUCCAUGGAAGUACAACCUCCAAGUUCUUCCAGAACAGUGCCUGACACAAACUGUUUGGGCUUCAGUAUGGAGAACAGACUGGAAAGAG